rnacentral:rRNA from 1 species
UACGUAGGGCGCGAGCGUUGUCCGGAUUUAUUGGGCGUAAAGAGCUCGUAGGCGGCUUGUCGCGUCGUUCGUGAAAACCUGGGGCUCAACCCCAGGCUUGCGGGCGAUACGGGCAGGCUAGAGUUCGGUAGGGGAGACUGGAAUUCCUGGUGUAGCGGUGAAAUGCGCAGAUAUCAGGAGGAACACCGGUGGCGAAGGCGGGUCUCUGGGCCGAUACUGACGCUGAGGAGCGAAAGCGUGGGGAGCGAACAGG